rnacentral:rRNA from 1 species
UGAGGAAUAUUGGUCAAUGGGCGAGAGCCUGAACCAGCCAAGUAGCGUGAAGGAUGACUGCCCUAUGGGUUUGUAAACUUCUUUUAUAAAGGAAUAAAGUCGGGUAUGGAUACCCGUUUGCAUGUACUUUAUGAAUAAGGAUCGGCUAACUCCGUGCC